rnacentral:lncRNA from 1 species
CUUCGAGCAUUUGAAUUUGAAACGCACACACCAUUGUGCAGGGUUCCUGAUGCCUCCUCCUGCUCUUGCCUGACCCCCUGAAAUCUAGGGGGCUCUGAGCUCCACGUGUCUCCGUGUCUCAGAAAGGAAGCCACUGUCCCCCUUCACACUGUGGCCCAGGACAAAGGGUGCCAGAACAGACCAGAACUUGACCUGAAGGCUACAGCCAAGUCCAGGAACAG